rnacentral:rRNA from 1 species
UUUACACAUGCAAGUCGAACGGCAGCACGGACUUCAAGUCUGGUGCAUAUGAACGGCAGUAAUGUAUCGGAACGUGCCUAGUAGCGGGGAUAACUAGCGAGCAGAAGAGUUACCGCAUACGCCCUUCGGGGGAAAGCGGGGACCUUCGGGCCCUCGCACUAAUAGAGCGGCCGAUAUCGGAUUAGCUAGUUGGUGGGUAACGGCUCACCAAGGCGACGAUCCGUAGCUGGUUUGAGAGGACGCACCAGCCACACUGGGACUGGAGACACGGCCCAGACUCCUACGGGAGCAGUGGGGAAUUUUGGAUAACAGGGGGAAACCCUGAUCCAGCAAUCCCGCGUGUGCGAUGAAGGCUCUCGGGUUGUAAAGCACUUUUGGCAGGAAAAAGAAACGGCACGGGAUAUCCCGUGCAACUGACGGUACCUGCAGAAUAAGCACCGGCUAACUACGUGCCAGCAGCCGCGGUAAUGCUUAGGUGCAAGCAAGUAAUCGGAAUUGUUGGCGUAAAGGUGCAGGCGGUUCGGAAAGAAAGAUGCGAAUCCCAGAGCUUAACUUGGAACUGCAUUUUUAACUGCACGAUGAGUGUGUCAGAGGGAGGUGGAAUUCCGCGUAGCGCAGUGAAAUGCGUAGAUAUGCGGAGGAACACCGAUGGCGAAGGCAGCCUCCCCGGGAUAACACUGACGCUCAUGCACGAGCGUGUGGGGAUGCAGCAUGAGGAUUAGAUACUCCUGGUAGUCCACGCCUUAAACGAUGUCAACUAGCUGUUGGGGCCUUCGCCUUGGUAGCGCAGCUAACGCGUGAAGCUGACCGCGUCUGGGAGUACGGUCGCAAAAGAUUAAAAACUCAAAGGAAUUGAUUUGGACCUGCACAAGCGGUGGAUGAUGCGGAUUAAUUCGAUGCAACGCGAAAAACUCACUACCCUUGACAUGUCUGGAAUCCCGAAGAGAUUUGGGGAGUGCCUGCAAGAGAACCGGAACACAGGUGCUGCAUGGCUGUCGUCAAAUGUGUGUCGUGAGAUGUUGGGUUAAGUCCCGCAACGAGCGCAACCCUUGUCAUUAGUUGAUAUGAAAAUUGUCGAGACUGCUGGCGACAAAACCGGAGGAAGGUGGGGAUGACGUCAAGUCCUCAUGGCCCUUAUGGGUAGGGCUUCACACGUCAUACAAUGGUCGGGACAGAGGGUCGCCAACCCGCGAGGGGAGCCAAUCCCAGAAACCCGAUCGUAGUCCGGAUCGCAGUCUGCAACCUCGACUGCGUGAAGUCGGACCGCUAGUAAUCGCGGAUCAGCAUGUCGCGGUGAAUACGUUCCCGGGUCUUGUACACACCGCCUGUCACACCAUGGGAGCGUGGGUUUUACCAGAAGUAGUUAGCCUAACCGUAAGGAGGGCGAUUACCACGGUGUGAUUCAUGACUGGGUGAAGUCGUAACAAGGCAA